GGAUCAUAGCUCAGUGGUAGAGCAUCUGUCUUGCAUGCAGAAGAUCCUUGGUUCAAACUCUGCCAUAUCCA